ensembl:lncRNA
ACCUGCCUCUGCCUCACGAGUGCUGGGAUUAAAGGCGGGCACCACCAAUGCCCGGCGAACAAAUGAUUUCUUUGGGCAGAAAUAUAUGAGUCUAUAGCUUAAAUAAAUUUCGAAUACUUAACUCAAUUACUCCAAAAAUUUUAAGAGUUAUCUGUGUGGGUGUGUAUGCGCACACAUGCACACAUGUGUGAACGCACGUGUGUGUGUGUGUGCGUGUGUGUGUGUGUGAAUGAAUGAAUGUAUGUGUGUGUGUGUGUGUGUGUGUGCACAUGUGUGUGCGUGGGAGGACAGACAAGUGGAUGCACUUGUUGAGGUCAGAUGAGGGCGUUAGACAUCCUCCUCUAUCAUUCUCUGCCUAUUCCUUUGAAGAAAGGUCUCUCCCUAAACCUGGAGCUGUGUUUAUUGACUGAGCUAGAACCCAGCAAGCCCCAGCUAUCUUCCUACCUUGAUCUCUCCUAGGAUCUAGAGCUAUAGGUGUGUACUUGAUGCUCGGUUUGUUAUGUGGAUGCUGGAAUCUAAACUCCAGUCCUCAUGCUUGCAUAACAAGUGCUCUUCACCACUGAAUCAUCUUUCUAGCCUUCAAAAUUGCUUUACUAAAUUCCUAUUAACCACAAUACACUGGGCUGGGGAGGGACAAUAUAAUAAUUGUUGUAAAGAUCACUUUUCUUUUGCUUAGUUAAUUCAUUACUGUUGUUUAUGAACGUGAUGAUGUAUGUGUGGCUACACACUGGCUGUCACAAGACUCUGUGGUGUCCAUUUUCUCAUAUAUUUUUGUUUUUCUGAGACAGGGUUUCUCUGUAUAGCCCCAGCUGUCUUAGAACUUGCUCUGUAGACCAGGCUGGACUCAAACUCAAAGAAAUCUGCCUGUCUCAGGUUCUGGGGAUUGAACUCAAAUCACCAUGCUCAUCCUGCAAGCACCUUCACCCACUGAGCCAUCUCACUGGCUCUCAAAGGUCACCUUUUUUUGUAGAUGACCACAGAGGAAAUUUGAAGGGUUUCAAGGGAAAGUACAGUAGUUGGAAUUUUUAAGUAGAAUAUUGGGGAGACCACACUGUUUAUAUUUUAAAAGUAAGACGAGCAAUCAUUACCUGGAGAGAUCGUAGAUGGCCAGGGUCCUGUUCUUCCAACUGAGGUUUAGGUGACAACAUAAGUUAAAAAUCCCAGGUCUUGGACUGUGUGAUAGCAGUGCACACCUUUAAUCCUAGCGCUCCACGAGUUCAAGGCCAGCUUUGUCUACAAAGCAAGUUCCAGGAUAGCCAGGGCUGUUACACAGAGAAACCCUGUCUCAAACAAACAAAAAUUCUAGGUUUUUCCAGAACACUGGGGAACAGUGGGCAUUUCGGUGCUUUCCAAUUUUCUUGCUGUUAUCAAUACUGCUGUGUUAAACUUCCCUAUAUUCAAUUCCUUGUGUGCAUCUCUGCUUUCUUAGGAUACACCCCUGCACAUGGAUCUUAUGGUUUAAAAAGGGCAGGAACAUCUUUGUGGCUUUGCUGAAAUGCAUUCCAUGAAGUUAUGCGUUUAGAGUCUCAUGAUCAUUGUAAGAGAGUAUCCUCCCACCUCACUCCACUCUUAGCAAGACUAAAUUUCAAAAGACAUAUUUGUAGGUCUCUAUAAAAACAAAAUGUUUGCCAGUUUUUUUAUUUCUAUUUAAUUUUCACUUAAGAACAAUUUUAGCCAGAGGGAAAGACUUACAAUUCGGCCUUUAUAGAAGAAGGAAUUUUCUUUUCUUUCUUAAGAUUUAUGUAUUUUUGGCUGGGCAGUGGUGGCGCAUGCCUUUGAUCCCAGCACUUGGGAGGCAGAGGCAGGAAGAUCUCUGUGAGUUCGAGACCAGCCUGGUCUACAAGAGCUAGAUCCAGGAAGGCCUCCAAAGCCACAGAGAAACCCUGUCUCAAAAAACAAAAAACAAACAAAGAAACAAAAAAGAUUUAUGUAUUUUUAUUAUAUGUGUGUUUUUAUUUUAUGAGUGUUUUUGCUUGCAUGUGUGCCGGUGUGUGCAGUGCCCAAUUAGGCCAGAUGAGAACAUCAGCUCCCUGGGAAACUGCAAUUACAGACAAUUGUGAGUGGCCAUGUGGGUGUUAGGAAUUGAACCUGGGUCUUCUGGAAGAACAGCUGGUGCUCUUAACCACUAAGCCAUCUCUCCAGCUCAGAAAAGGGAAUUUUCUUUACAUUACACUCUGUGGCUAGCAACAUGGUGGGUUUUGUAGCAGCAUUCCAGAACUGUGGUGGAAGUGUUUGUCAGUGGUUUAAGUUUGGGUUUAAAGUGGGAAGAGGUGUUGGCAAAGGCUAAGAAACAGUGUGACAAGAAAUGAAGAUGGAAAGAUUAAAAGUGAGGAAAAAAGAGGACAGGCAGCAGGAGGGCCCAUGCUCUUCCACAAAGAGUCUGCUAGAGCCUGUUCCCUUUCCUUUGUGGCUGUUCUAAUGUUUUCUUCAAACACUUAGCAACUGCAGCUCCCAUUCUCAUCAGAGAAAAUGAAAGCAAGGACAACUCCAGGCAGAGCAGCAAACCCCUGGAGAAAGACACACAGAAUGUUUUCUGUUUGAAAGGGAGAAUUCCUGUGUUGCAAUCUGCUAAGUCACCCAGAUCUUAACGUUUUGACCUACUGUCUUUCCUUCCUUCUCAACUGUCCCCUCCCUAGGUUUUUAACUGGUCACUGUGAUGAUUAAAACCAGAAGGGUCCCUAGAACCUCUCAGUGAAGUCUGAGGGUGAACUUAAAUCCUAACAAGCAGUGGUGCUGUGUCUAUAUAUUUUACCUAUUUCUUCCUUUUCCAAUUUAAGAGAAUUUACUGAGCUAUAAAGUAACACUGAAUACUGUUAAACACCAUUUGUGGGAGUUUACACAUUUGGUCUGGGCACCUGCCUUGAGCCUAAUAGAGCAAACCAAUAGAGAAUAUAAUGCCUGCCACAGAGCUUUCCCUUGGCUGUUGGAGACCCUGUAACCAAUUAACUGGGUGACCAGCCAGGCUGUGGCCAAUAUUUCACUGUUACUUAUUUCUUUAUUUGACCCAUUGAGGAUGUGUUGCUGAGUCUAAGUGUGUAAGGGCUUCCCACCCCGUUUCUGAUUUUAACAAUAUCAGUGACAUUAAGCUGAAGUUCUUAGACUUCACUCUGGUUCUGGGAGCUCCCUAGUCCACCAGUUCUAUCUGUUUUGUUUUACUUUGCUUGAAUAAACUUAAUUAAAUUUAAUCUUACAAAAACAAAAAUAAAAAACAGUAAACACAGAAAGUGGGUGUUACAAUGAAAAGUCGUAUUCCUAGCUACUCAGUAUUGCUUGAACCUGGGGGAGUUCAGGGCUAACCUGGGCAAUACAUGAGACUGUCUCAAAAGGGAGACAAAAAGAGGGGGGAAUCUUUAGUUGUAAAAUGAUUAAGUGAGAGGAAAUUUGUAGUUUCUCUGUCACUAGGUUUAGAUUUUGAAAGUAAUGGGUCUAUCUAAUGACCAGGAAAACCUACCUGGGGUUUUGUUCCCAAUCUUAAGCACUUUUGUCUGAUUUCAAAACUAUCUCCAUGUGAUUAAAAAAAAUGACUUCCUAAAAGCUACAUAGUCCUCAUCUCAACUCACAUUUCUUAAACAUGUCUUGUAGGGUUUGUAUUGUUUAAAAGCUCACACCCAAAUGCAUCACAUAAAAACAUGAACAAAUGUUACUAAAUGUCAGUCUGCUUUAAUAGUCACCUUGAAUUUUCACCAUAGUUGAAAAUAAAGUUAAGUCUGGUGGUGGUGCACAUCUUUAUUCCCAGCACUCGGGAGGCAGAGGCAGGUGGAUCUCUGUGAGUUCAAGGCCAGCCUUGUCUACAGAGCAAGUUUCAGGACAGUUAGGGCUAUACAGAGAAACCCUGCCUUGAAAAAACAAGAGAGAGAGAGAGAAUCUGGAUUUGAGUUUUACUCUGUUAAAAUAACAGCAGUUAUUUACUUGGGUUUGACUACAUAUAGCCUAUGUGGUCAGUCACGUAAUGACUGAUGUGUACCCUCAUGUGGGUUCUUGAAUGGCUUCUACUAUCCUGCCCAGGAAGGAAACAUUUUAAGAAGGAAUUGGCUAUUAGAGUGCAAGCAUUUGGAUUGUAGCCUGAUACACACACACAAACACACACACACACACACACACACACACACACACACACACACACACUUAUAGUGUUGUAAGGAGGAAAUGACUAUCUGACUGCUAUCUAAUCACAGACUAUGAUGAGGCAUUGAAGACAAAGAACUUGGUUCUUAAGAGGCCGGCGGGGAUAAUGAACACUCUGAUGGAGACAUCAUGAGUCACGAUCCUGAUGACUCAGCCACAGCAUUUGGUACAGUCAGUAUCAUGCUCUCAUGUGUGUCAUCCUGUAACAUUUUAGUGUUUCACUUUGUUCUGCUCAGUAAACCAAGAGCCCUCCUUCCACUUUUCUGUGUGUACAAUGUACUGCAUGCAGGAAAUGCUCUCUCUCUCUUUCUCUUUUUCUCUCUCUCUGUUUUUGUUUUGUUUGUAAUAGGGUCUCACUAUGUAGCUCUGGCUAGCCUGAAUUCAGUAUACAUGCUGCUUUCACAGAAACCCACCUGCUUUUACUUCCUAAGAGUCUUGCAGGAAACUCUUAAUCCAUGCUGCUUACAGAGUAAAGAAUGAUAGUAUAGGGAGAACUGAUAAUAUAAAGGCUGGAGAGGUGGCUCAGUGGUUAAGAGCACUAGCUGCUCUUCCAGACAUCCUGAGUUCAUUUCCUAAAAACCACAUGGCGGCUCACAACCAUCUGUAAUGAAACCUGGUGCCCUCUUCUGGCCUGCAGGUAUACAUGCAGACAGACUCUGUAUACAUGAUAAAUAAAUCCAGAACAAGGAAGAGGAGGAGGAAGAGGAGGAGGAGGAAGAGGAGGAGCAGGAGGAGGAGGAUGAAGAGGAGAAGAAGAAGAAGAAGAAGAAGAAGAAGAAGAAGAAGAAGAAGAAGAAGAAGAAGAAGAGACAAUGUAGCUUAGUGAUGGACUAGCAUUUGCAAGUCCCUAGGUUUGAUCUCCCAGUACUAUCAGAAGGAAGGAAGGAAGGUAGAUUUAAAAAAAUAAAAUAAAAUAAAAUAAAAAAUAAAAAAACAACUAUUAUUAGUUGGGAGAGUCUCUUGACUGGUCAACUAGUUCACUUCAUAUAUUUCUAACAUCUUAAUGAGUGCCUGGCACAACCAAUAAGUCAUUUUAGAGUAGUGAAUAAAAGACAAAACGAAUAAGGAGCCAGAGAUAUGGCUAAAUGGUACAGCCUAGCAUUUGUGAGGACUUGAGUCCCCAGCACCACACACACACACACACACACACACACACACACACACACACACACACACACACACCCCCAGUGGAUCCAUUUUCAUCUCACUGGUAAGUGUCUGGUUAAAGCCCUCAUUGACUUGUCCAGUGCUUCAUCAGACAAUCACUGAACACAGUGCUAUAGGUCAGCACUGGCUGUAAGGGUAAACAGAAAUGGCUAUGCCUUCAUAAUGUUCAAUGUUUUCUUCUGGACUCCUUUUGUAUACAGGUCUACACACACAUGCACAAACACACAUGGGUACACAUAAAUAAAAAAAUACAUUUUUUUGGCUCUUAUUAUUAUUAUUUUUUUUUUUGAGACGAGUUUUCUCUGUGUAACCCUGGCUUUAACCAGGCUGGCCUAGAACUCAGGGAUCUGACUGCCUCUGCCUCUCAAGUGUGUUACUACUGCCCAACCUCAAAAAAAAAAAUCUUUAAAAACAAGAUUUUUAAACACUUUUGUCAGAAGAAGCCCAAAGUUAGUAAACUUGCCUAAUAGGCUAACUGGCCCCUGCAUACUGCUGGGUGGGUGGUGGUGGCACAUGCCUUUAGUCCCAGCACUUGGGAGGCAGAGUGGAUGGGGAUGGUGGUUGUGGUAGGGGUGAACCCAGCCAGAGCUUUGUGGGUGUCUUAGUCAGGGUUUCUAUUGCUGUGAAGAGACACCAUGACCACAGCAACUUUAUAGAGGAAAAUAUUAACUGGGGCAAGCUUACAGUUUCAGAGGUUUAGUCCAUUAUUGUCAUGGUGGGACAUGGCGGCACUCAGGUAGGCAUGGGUGCUGGAGAAGGAGCCAAGAGUCCUACAUCUUGAGCCCCAGGCAGUAGCACCAGUCUGUUCCACUGGCCAGACUAGAGCUUAUAAGACCUCAAAGCUCACCAUUAGUGACACACUUCCUCCAGCAAGCUCACACCUACUCCACCAAAGCCUCACCUCCUAAUACUGCCACACCCUGGGGGGGGGGUCUAUUUUCUUUCAGACAGCCAGAGGGCUAGGUAACCUGUCUACCACAGAGUUACAUCCUCAGAUCUCUAUUAUAUAUUCGCCUUAAAUUCUUCUUUGACAUUGGUAGCAAACACUAUCUUAGAUUUCCUUCUUUCUUCUCUUUUUAGGAAGUGCCUAAUGAAAAAGUUAAACUUCAUCCAUUGAAAACUUUGUGGGUUUUUUUUUUUUUUCUUUAUUUAUUUAGGUUUUUUGAGACAGGGUUUCUCUGUGUAUUGCUGGCGGUCCUGGAAGCUCUGUAGACCAGGCUGGCCUCGAACUCACAGAGAUCCACCUGUCUCUGCCUCACGAUUUCGGAGAUUAAAGGCAUGCAUCACCAAUGCCUGGUGAAAACUUUGUUUUUUAACUUAAUAUGAACUUCAUAUAGUUGAAUAUCAUCAUAUUCUUUUUUUUUUUAAGAUUUAUUUAUUAUGUAUGUGUUCUGCCUGCAUGCCAGAAGAGGGCUCCAGAUCUGAUUAUAGGUGGUUGUGAGCCACCCUGUGGUUGCUGGAAAUUGAACUCUGGACCUCUGGAGGAGCAGCCAGUGCUCUUAAUCUCUGAGCAGUCUCUCCAGUCCAUCAUCAGGUUCUUAAUCUGUUUUCUUUCUGCUGAAUUCUUUUAGCUUUUCCUAUCUUUCCAGAUUUCUGAUGAAGGAAUGAGGGAGAUGUUGGUGCUGCUAGUAUUCAUCCAACUCUUGCUCAGGUGGAAAAAAAACUUGCUGCACAAGUGUGUACUUAUGUAGAGAAUGGCCAGGCAUGGUGAUGAACAGACACCCUUAUCCCAGCAAUCAGGAGGCAGAGGCAGGUGGAUCUCUAUGAGGUCAAGGCCAGCCUGAUCUACAGAGUGAGUUCCAGGACAGCCAGGGAGACAUGGUGAGACCCGGUCUCAAAAAACCAAAACAAAGGCUGGGCAUUGGUGGCACACUCCUUUAAUCCCAGCACUCGGGAGGCAGAGGCGUGUGCCACCAACGCCUGGCUAGCUUAGUCUUAAUUAUCAUAAAUCUAUAUAUUUUAUAAGACUUAUCUUAUAGUGGAUGCCUUCCGCUGGCACUCUCUCUUGC